rnacentral:rRNA from 1 species
AGUGAACGCUGGCGGUAGGCCUAACACAUGCAAGUCGAACGGCAGCACAGUAAGAGCUUGCUCUUACGGGUGGCGAGUGGCGGACGAGUGAGGAAUACAUCGGAAUCUACUUUUUCGUGGGGGAUAACGUAGGGAAACUUACGCUAAUACCGCAUACGACCUACGGGUGAAAGCAGGGGAUCUUCGGACCUUGCGCGAUUGAAUGAGCCGAUGUCGGAUUAGCUAGUUGGCGGGGUAAAGGCCCACCAAGGCGACGAUCCGUAGCUGGUCUGAGAGGAUGAUCAGCCACACUGGAACUGAGACACGGUCCAGACUCCUACGGGAGGCAGCAGUGGGGAAUAUUGGACAAUGGGCGCAAGCCUGAUCCAGCCAUACCGCGUGGGUGAAGAAGGCCUUCGGGUUUUAAAGCCCUUUUGUUGGGAAAGAAAAGCAGCAGGUUAAUACCCCGCUGUUCUGACGGUACCCAAAGAAUAAGCACCGGCUAACUUCGUG